rnacentral:misc_RNA from 1 species
CUGUAGAGUGAGCCUGCUCGCGAUAGCGGUGUAUCAGAUACAUCUAAUUGAAUGUCACACCGCAAUCGCGAGCAGGCUCACUCCCACA